AACGCUAGCUACAGGCUUAACACAUACAAGUCGAGGGGCAGCAUGGUCUUAGCUUGCUAAGGCCGAUGGCGACCGGCGCACGGGUGAGUAACACGUAUCCAACCUGCCGUCUACUCUUGGACAGCCUUCUGAAAGGAAGAUUAAUACAAGAUGGCAUCAUGAGUCCGCAUGUUCACAUGAUUAAAGGUAUUCCGGUAGACGAUGGGGAUGCGUUCCGUUAGAUAGUAGGCGGGGUAACGGCCCACCUAGUCUUCGAUGGAUAGGGGUUCUGAGAGGAAGGUCCCCCACAUUGGAACUGAGACACGGUCCAAACUCCUACGGGAGGCAGCAGUGAGGAAUAUUGGUCAAUGGGCGAGAGCCUGAACCAGCCAAGUAGCGUGAAGGAUGACUGCCCUAUGGGUUGUAAACUUCUUUUAUAAAGGAAUAAAGUCGGGUAUGGAUACCCGUUUGCAUGUACUUUAUGAAUAAGGAUCGGCUAACUCCGUGCCAGCAGCCGCGGUAAUACGGAGGAUCCGAGCGUUAUCCGGAUUUAUUGGGUUUAAAGGGAGCGUAGAUGGAUGUUUAAGUCAGUUGUGAAAGUUUGCGGCUCAACCGUAAAAUUGCAGUUGAUACUGGAUAUCUUGAGUGCAGUCGAGGCAGGCGGAAUUCGUGGUGUAGCGGUGAAAUGCUUAGAUAUCACGAAGAACUCCGAUUG
rnacentral:rRNA from 1 species